GAAAGAAAGAAAGAAAGAAAGAAAGAAAGAAAGAAAGAAAGAAAGAAAGAAAGAAAGAAAGAAAGAAAGAAAGAAAGAAAGAAAGAAAGAAAGAAGGAAAGAAAGAAAGAAGUUAGAACACUACAUGCUAGGUGGCAUUUUGUGAAGGCAUGGCAGCACAAAAACAGAAACAGAUAAAACAUCUCUUCCCCUUGUGCACAUAAACUUGCCUCUGCUGUAUUCUGAGUCCUUCUAUAAUAUUGAGCUAUGAUGGAAAAACUCAAGUAUGGAAGGCAAAGAGAAAUGACUUUAUAUGCUAAUUAGCUGCUGACACAAUCUUCUUAGUAUACGGUGCCAUUAAGUAAUGGUUACAUACUGAC
ensembl:lncRNA